UACGGAGGAUCCAAGCGUUAUCCGGAAUCAUUGGGUUUAAAGGGUCCGUAGGCGGUUUUGUAAGUCAGUGGUGAAAGCCCAUCGCUCAACGGUGGAACGGCCAUUGAUACUGCAAGACUUGAAUUGAUAGGAAGUAACUAGAAUAUGUAGUGUAGCGGUGAAAUGCUUAGAGAUUACAUGGAAUACCAAUUGCGAAGGCAGGUUACUACUAAUAUAUUGACGCUGAUGGACGAAAGCGUGGGGAGCGAACAGG
rnacentral:rRNA from 1 species